rnacentral:rRNA from 1 species
UACGUAGGGGGCUAGCGUUGUCCGGAAUCAUUGGGCGUAAAGCGCGUGUAGGCGGCCCGGUAAGUCCGCUGUGAAAGUCCAGGGCUCAACCCUGGGAUGCCGGUGGAUACUGUCGGGCUCGAGUCCGGAAGAGGCGAGUGGAAUUCCUGGUGUAGCGGUGAAAUGCGCAGAUAUCAGGAGGAACACCAAUGGCGAAGGCAGCUCGCUGGGACGUGACUGACGCUGAGGAGCGAAAGCUAGGGGAGCAAACGGG